AUUGAACGCUGGCGGCAGGCUUAACACAUGCAAGUCGAGCGGGAAUAGGUAGCUUGCUACUGAUUUCUAGCGGCGGACGGGUGAGUAAUGCUUAGGAAUCUGCCUAUUAGUGGGGGACAACGUUCCGAAAGGAACGCUAAUACCGCAUACGUCCUACGGGAGAAAGCAGGGGAUCUUCGGACCUUGCGCUAAUAGAUGAGCCUAAGUCGGAUUAGCUAGUUGGUGGGGUAAAGGCCUACCAAGGCGACGAUCUGUAGCGGGUCUGAGAGGAUGAUCCGCCACACUGGGACUGAGACACGGCCCAGACUCCUACGGGAGGCAGCAGUGGGGAAUAUUGGACAAUGGGGGGAACCCUGAUCCAGCCAUGCCGCGUGUGUGAAGAAGGCCUUUUGGUUGUAAAGCACUUUAAGCGAGGAGGAGGCUCCUUUAGUUAAUACCUAAAGUGAGUGGACGUUACUCGCAGAAUAAGCACCGGCUAACUCU
rnacentral:rRNA from 1 species